UACGGGGGGAGCAAGCGUUGUUCGGAUUUACUGGGCGUAAAGGGCGCGUAGGCGGCGUGACAAGUCACUUGUGAAAUCUCCGGGCUUAACUCGGAGCGGCCAAGUGAUACUGUCGUGCUAGAGUGCGGAAGGGGCUACUGGAAUUCUCGGUGUAGCGGUGAAAUGCGUAGAUAUCGAGAGGAACACCUGCGGCGAAGGCGGGUAGCUGGGCCGACACUGACACUGAGAGACGAAAGCUAGGGGAGCGAAUGGG
rnacentral:rRNA from 1 species